UACGUAGGGGGCGAGCGUUGUCCGGAUUUAUUGGGCGUAAAGAGCGUGUAGGCGGCCAGGUAGGUCUGCUGUGAAAACUCGAGGCUCAACCUCGAGACGUCGGCGGAAACCAUCUGGCUAGAGUCCGGAAGAGGAGAGUGGAAUUCCUGGUGUAGCGGUGAAAUGCGUAGAUAUCUGGAGGAACACCGGUGGCGAAGGCGGCAUCCUGGACCAUUACUGACACUGAAAAGCGAAAGCCAGGGGAGCAAACGGG
rnacentral:rRNA from 1 species